rnacentral:rRNA from 1 species
CGAGAUUCCCCCAGUAGCGGCGAGCGAACGGGGAGCAGCCCAGAGCCUGAAUCAGUGUGUGUGUUAGUGGAAGCGUCUGGAAAGGCGUGCGAUACAGGGUGACAGCCCCGUACACAAAAAUGCACAUGCUGUGAGCUCGAUGAGUAGGGCGGGACACGUGGUAUCCUGUCUGAAUAUGGGGGGACCAUCCUCCAAGGCUAAAUACUCCUGACUGA